rnacentral:rRNA from 1 species
CACCACAACGGGUGGAGCCUGUCGGUUUAAUUGGACUCAACGCCGGGCAGCUCACCGGAUAAGACAGCUGGAUGAUAGCCGGGCUGAAGACUCUGCUUGACUAGCUGAGAGGAGGUGCAUGGCCGUCGUCAGUUCGUACUGUGAAGCAUCCUGUUAAGUCAGGCAACGAGCGAGACCCACGCCAACAGUUGCCAGCAUGUCCUCCGGGAUGAUGGGGACACUGUUGGGACCGCCUCUGCUAAAGAGGAGGAAGGAAUGGGCAACGGUAGGUCAGCAUGCCCCGAAUUAUCCGGGCUACACGCGGGCUACAAUGGUCAGGACAAUGGGUAUCGACACCGAGAGGUGGAGGCAAUCUCCUAAACCUGUCCUUAGUUCGGAUUGUGGGCUGCAACUCGCCCACAUGAAGCUGGAAUCCGUAGUAAUCGCGUUUCAAAAUAGCGCGGUGAAUAUGUCCCUGCUCCUU